CGGGGUGUAGCGCAGCUUGGUAGCGCGCUUCGUUCGGGACGAAGAGGUCGUGGGUUCGAAUCCCGCCACCCCGACCA
rnacentral:tRNA from 1 species